rnacentral:rRNA from 1 species
CUNANACGCUGNCGGCGUGNNUAGACUGCANGUCGCACGAACGAACCGAUUGAGUAAUCAUGAGGUAAGUUAGUGGCGAAAGGGUGAGUAAUGCGUAGGCAACGUACCCCAGACUCCGGAAUAGCUGCGGAACUUCGGUUCCUUUGCGAAGGUGCAGGUAAUACCGGAUAAGCUCUUAGUGUCGCCUGGCACACAGAGAAAAGGUUUACUUGGUUUGGGAGCGGCCUACGUCGUAUCAGCUUGUUGGUGAGGUAACGGCUUACCAAGGCUUCGACGCGUANCGGGACCGAGAGGUUGAUCCGCCACAUUGGGACUGAGACACUGCCCAGACUCCUACGGGGGGCUGCAGUAACGAAUCUUGCGCAAUGGACGAAAGUCUGACGCACAACGCCGUGUGUAGGAAGAAGCUCCUCGGAGUGUAAACUACUGUCANAGUGAANAAAGAUCUGAUCGAUCUCAAAGGAAGGUCCGCUACUUCUGCCACCACCNCGGUAUACAAAGGACCANCCUUNUCNGAAUCUUGGCUUAACCCACCNGCCGACUGUC